rnacentral:rRNA from 1 species
AAACGACUGCUAAUACCGCAUAAUGUCUACGGACCAAAGGGGGCUUCGGCUCUCGCCUUUAGAUUGGCCCAAGUGGGAUUAGCUAGUUGGUGAGGUAAUGGCUCACCAAGGCGACGAUCCCUAGCUGGUUUGAGAGGAUGAUCAGCCACACUGGGACUGAGACACGGCCCAGACUCCUACGGGAGGCAGCAGUGGGGAAUAUUGCACAAUGGGCGCAAGCCUGAUGCAGCCAUGCCGCGUGUGUGAAGAAGGCCUUCGGGUUGUAAAGCACUUUCAGUCAGGAGGAAAGGUUAGUAGUUAAUACCUGCUAGCUGUGACGUUACUGACAGAAGAAGCACCGGCUAACUCCGUGCCAGCAGCCGCGGUAAUACGGAGGGUGCGAGCGUUAAUCGGAAUUACUGGGCGUAAAGCGUACGCAGGCGGUUUGUUAAGCGAGAUGUGAAAGCCCCGGGCUCAACCUGGGAACUGCAUUUCGAACUGGNAAACUAGAGUGUGAUAGAGGGUGGUAGAAUUUCAGGUGUAGCGGUGAAAUGCGUAGAGAUCUGAAGGAAUACCGAUGGCGAAGGCAGCCACCUGGGU